UUAACGUGGUCCUACUCCAAGUACAUGGCAGCUCUGAAAAAGGAGGAGAUCCUACUGAGGAGGAAGAAUCAGCUGGAUGCAUCCUUCUCCACUUUCUCAGACUCCUCUUCCUGCAGUGUAAAGUCAGCCGGGACGGCCCCGAGUCAGAAGCAGCAGUCCCUUCGCUCCAGGACAGGCAGCCAGCAGCGGCAGAGAUACAGCCCGGGAGUGAAACCUUUUAACAUGAAGUAACUCUUGAAGAACGACCAACCUGAACCUGAAAAAGCUUUUCAAAUGGUGACAUUGUUAUCCAUCAUUUACAGUUUAUUAGCGAUGGACAGAUGAUACCUUAAGGUGUGUGUGACUAACAGUAUCGAGUGGAUUUGCCAAAAUAUCAGUCAUAAAUCCUUGUCUUUUUUUUAUUUUUUAUUAAAACAAAUCUCUCUCCUAAUAUAUAUUAUCCAUUUACAAAGGCAUUAGUUUUCAUACAGAGUUCACACAAUAAAAAGGCAAUUAUAUUUAGCACAUUUGCAUCAUCAGGGAUUGGCAACAACAGUCACAACUUUCAGUGUUAUUGAGAAACUCACAUCAUCUCUAAAAAACCUUUUGGUUGACAGCUAGUACACGGAGCGUCCGUCAUCAUGUUGAUAAUAUUGCACUUUACAUUGGCAUCAGACGGACUCAGAGGAGGACAGAGUAAACAAGGGGAGUUUUAGUGAGGAAAGAAACAGUGCAGCAGUUUCAGGUUCAAAAGCCCCAUUUAACGCAACAAAGACAAACUUGGUCCAACGGAAAGAACACGGCUGAAAAUGAGCGACCCUGAAUGUAAAGUAGGGCUGCACAAUGUGUCAAUAUAUGCUUUACCUCAUUGAUUUAGCCUUACGGUUGUAGAGUUUCAAGUUCCAGUCAUUUUUCUAAUAUUGGGGAAACCAGAUGCCAAAGUAUUCAAAUUUAUUUUUCUUAUAUCGUGCAGCCCUAUAAAGUUAUCAGUGUGAAAUGUUUUUAAAAUGUCACUGUGCAAAAGGUUAUACUGUAGUUAUGGCUCAACCACAUCACUUUCAAAAUGAAGAUUGUUUUCAUAGUGUUCAUCUUUGUAUCUGUCUCACAAUUUUUCAAGCAAAAAUAAAUACAUUUGAACUUGGAAAUGUGCUUUACAAUCCCUCAUAUUAUUUAUAUACUUUUCAACAACAGUAAAUUUGUCUCGGAAAAGGCUUUUUUGAUACAUAAUACAAAACCACACACAUAAGGCCUCUAGAUUGUAAAAAGUCUUUAACAAGCAGCUUUGAUAACACUCUGCAACUCGUCACAGCAGCCAAACAAAGGCAGAAUGAACUGUUGAGUAUGCAAAGGAGACACUAGAGUAUAGGGUUUAAAGCAGUGGUUCUCAAACUGUGGUAGAGGGAUCACCGGUGGCUGCGGUAAAUGAAGUUGCAGACUGUUACCAAAGCACUGCAGAGGGCACAUCACGGUCAUGACCAAAUACUGCGAAUAUUUAAAUGGAUAUCUUAGUGGAAUCCAAUCCUUAAGGCUUUGUUCUUGACCAUGUUGAACUUGCUGACGAACACUGUGGCGAAGGCGGGGUCCACCAGGUAUCGGUAGGACUUGGUGACAGAGGGAGGGGCCUCGGCGAGGGUGACCGCCGGCUGCAGCUGGACGGAGGCGACGGAGGGCGAGAGGAACUGAGAGGCACGAGUCACGAAGUCCACCAGCCGCUUAUACUGCUGCUCCGACAGACGCUCACGCACGCCAUCGCCCUGCGCAGAGGAGGAGGGGCUUAAUAUAGAAGCACAACAAAGCGCGGGGAUGUCAGUGUGGCAAAGAAAAGGGGAGACGGCAAAAGAUUUUAUAAAGAGUCACAUAUUACUUAUAUUACAUACAUACAACAUAAUUAUGACUUUUGUCUGCUCCUUUUAUUGUUGGAUAUUUCCACAGUAAACAAGUCACAUGAUUGUUAGGCUAUGUGCCCCUCCUGUUGCAUGUGUGCAGGCCUGGUGGUACUUGACAGAUCAAUUAUUUUAUAAGGUGGUACUUGAACAACAUCUUUAGAGACCAUUGCGCUACUACCACAUUUCAACAAUGGUAGGCAUUAUCGAAAGCUUUCCGUUUUAAAUGCUCAAACGUUGGCCAUUUCUGUUUCAUAGCAUAUUUAUUAGUAUAUAGCAAGAACUCAUAAUAUCAAAAAACAUAUUUGAAAUGAAAGAACCAUGUUUUGUCAUUUGAGAAUGGCCUUUCGUGGUGUGAUACCUCCGAGUCUUUGGUGACCGUCUGAUGCUGUAAGGUGAGCAUCAGUUCGCCCCGUUGUCCUGGGUCCUGCACGCACUCCACCUGCGGGACACAAUGACGUACGGGGGUUAGCAUCAGCAUCGGCUCUGUUUCUCGUCUGAUUGGAGGUUACCUCGGUGAUGGGGAAGGCCUGCUGCUGCGUGUCCUCACUCAGGCUGACCACAAACAGCACGUCGGUGGUGAGCAGCAGACAGCCCGCGUGCUCCUGCCCCGACCCGCUCACGAUGGUCACCUCCAGGGCCAUGUGCACCUCGGGACGCCCCAGAGACUGCAGCAUUUUCCUGGACACACACGAAAAGAGGAUUCAUUAGACACGGGUGUGUGAAGAACCACCAAACACACCAAAUUCUAUUGACAUUUUUAAAGCAGCUGGAGAGAGCAUUACCGAUACAUUAUUACUAGAAGGAAGGAUGUCAUAUUUUCUAGUUAGCUGCAGUGUAUUCACAACUCAAAGACCACAACCAUAAUAAUAGGACAAGUGAAUGUAAUCUGUAAGUGCAUUUAGUUCUAUACUUUCUAUAUAACAGUCUCUCUGGGAACCUUAACAAUUUCCUCAAAUGCACAAAGUGUUGAAA
ensembl:lncRNA